UGUAGUCUGCAACCCGACUACAUGAAGCUGGAAUCGCUAGUAAUCGCGAAUCAGCAUGUCGCGGUGAAUACGUUCCCGGGUCUUGUACACACCGCCCGUCACACCAUGGGAGUUGGUAACGCCCGAAGUCAGUGACCUAACCGCAAGGGAGGAGCUGCCGAAGGUGGGGCCAGUAACUGGGGUGAAGUCGUAACAAGGUACC
rnacentral:rRNA from 1 species